rnacentral:tRNA from 1 species
GGCGGUGUAGCUCAGCUGGUUUAGAGCGCACGGUUCAUACCCGUGAAGUCGCUGGUUCAAGUCCAGCCACCGCUACCA